UACGGGGGGAGCAAGCGUUGUUCGGAUUUACUGGGCGUAAAGGGCGCGUAGGCGGUCAGCACAAGUCAGUUGUGAAAUCUCCGGGCUUAACUCGGAAAGGUCAACUGAUACUGUGCGACUAGAGUGCGGAAGGGGCAACUGGAAUUCUCGGUGUAGCGGUGAAAUGCGUAGAUAUCAGGAGGAACACCUGCGGUGUAGACGGCUUACUGGACGGUAACUGACGCUGAGGCACGAAAGCGUGGGUAGCAAACAGG
rnacentral:rRNA from 1 species